ACGCUCGACACCUACUGGAGGCAGCAGUGAGGAAUAUUGGUCAAUGGGCGCUAGCCUGAACCAGCCAAGUAGCGUGAAGGAUGAAGGCUCUAUGGGUCGUAAACUUCUUUUAUAUAAGAAUAAAGUGCAGUAUGUAUACUGUUUUGUAUGUAUUAUAUGAAUAAGGAUCGGCUAACUCCGUGCCACAGCCGCGGUAAUCUGAGCGGGCUGGCAAGGC
rnacentral:rRNA from 1 species